AGCAGCCGCGGUAAUUCCAGCUCCAAUAGCGUAUAUUAAAGUUGUUGCAGUUAAAAAGCUCGUAGUUGAAUUUCGGGGUUAGUAGGUUGGUCAUGCCUCUGGUAUGUACUGGUCUCACUGAUUCCUCCUUCCUUAUGAACCGUAAUGCCAUUAAUUUGGUGUUGCGAGGAAUUUGGACUGUUACUUUGAAAAAAUUAGAGUGUUUAAAGCAAGCUAACACUUGAAUACAUUAGCAUGGAAUAAUGAAAUAGGACGUUCGAUCUUAUUUUGUUGGUUUCUAGGAUUGACGUAAUGAUUAAUAGGGAUAGUUGGGGGCAUUAGUAUUCAAUUGUCAGAGGUGAAAUUCUUGGAUUUAUUGAAGACUAACUACUGCGAAAGCAUUUGCCAAGGAUGUUUUCAUUAAUCAAGAACGAAAGUUAGGGGAUCGAAGACGAUCAGAUACCGUCGUAGUCUUAACCAUAAACUAUGCCGACUAGGGAUCGGAUGAUGUUAAUUUUUAAUGACUCAUUCGGCGCCUUAC
rnacentral:rRNA from 1 species